UGCCAGCCGCCGCGGUAAUACGGAGGGUGCAAGCGUUGUUCGGAAUUAUUGGGCGUAAAGCGCGUGUAGGCGGUUCGUUAAGUCUGAUGUGAAAGCCCGGGGCUUAACCCCGGAACUGCCCUCAAAACUGUCGAUCUAGAGACCAGGAGAGGUAAGCGUAAUUCCUAGUGUAGAGGUGAAAUUCGUAGAUAUUAGGAAGAACACCAGUGGCGAAGGCGGCUUACUGGAGCUAUUCUGACGCUAAGGCGCGAAAGCGUGGGGAGCAAACGGGAUUAGAUA
rnacentral:rRNA from 1 species